AGCUUGUGGCACUGCGGUGUGUUGGCGGCCGUACCUGUGUAUCUGCGGGUGUGUGUGUCCGUUGUGCCUACGGGUGUGUACUCUCGGUUAAAAGAUGAUUUACAGUUUGGUAAAUGACUCUUUAUGUAUGACUAUCACAACCACACGCUAUUGAUAAAAUACAAAAGAAAGAAAUUAGUAAAUGAAGUGUAAA